rnacentral:tRNA from 1 species
CCUAGUGUGGCAGGGUCUGGGGAACGGGUUUCUGCCUACUCGCCCGAGGUAGCAAAGUCUGGAAAGUGCUAAAGGUCUAAGCCCUUUCAUCGGAGGUUCAAAUCCUCCCCCCGGCU